rnacentral:rRNA from 1 species
AGUGGAUGGGGAGCAACCUAGUUGUGAGUGUGGAAAGGUAGUGCCAAGAAAAGCUGUCAGAAUGAUGAGAAUUGAGUCCCGGUACCCGAAACCGACACAGGUAGGCAAGUAGAGGAUACUAAGGGGCGCGAGGUAACUCUCUCCAAGGAACUCGGCAAAAUGACCCCGUAACUUAGGGAGAAGGGGUGCCACCGAGAGGUGGUCGCAGUGAAGAGGCCCAGGCGACUGUUUAGCAAAAACAUAGGUCUCUGCAAACUCGAAAGAGGAAGUAUAGGGGCUGACGCCUGCCCAGUGCCGGAAGGUUAAAGAAGUUGGUCAGGAGAAAUCUGAAGCUGGCGACUGAAGCCCCGGUGAACGGCGGCCGUAACUAUAACGGUCCUAAGGUAGCGAAAUUCCUUGUCGGGUAAGUUCCGACCCGCACGAAAGGCGUAACGAUCUGGGCGCUGUCUCGGAGAGAGGCUCGGCGAAAUAGGAUUGUCUGUGAAGAUACGGACUACCUGCAUUUGGACAGAAAGACCCUAUGAAGCUUUACUGUAGCUUGAAAUUGUGUUCGGGCUUCCUGUGCGCAGGAUAGGUGGGAGGCGAGGAAGGUCUGCUUGUGGGCAGAUUGGAGCCAACCGUGAGAUACCACUCUCAGGAGGCUAGAAUUCUAACUUAAUUAAGGACAGUUUCAGGUGGGCAGUUUGACUGGGGCGGUCGCCUCCAAAAAGGUAACGGAGGCGUACAAAGGUUCCCUCACACUGGUUGGAAAUCAGUCAGAGUGCAAAGGCAGAAGGGAGCUUGACUGCGAGACGGACAAGUCGAGCAGGGUGGAAACACGGUCUUAGUGAUCCGACGGUGCUGUGUGGAAGGGCCGUCGCUCAACGGAUAAAAGUUACUCUAGGAUAACAGGCUGAUCUCCCCCAAGAGUUCACAUCGACGGGGAGGUUUGGCACCUCGAUGUCGGCUCAUCGCAACCUGGGGCGGAAGUACGUCCCAAGGGUUGGGCUGUUCGCCCAUUAAAGCGGUACGUGAGCUGGGUUCAGAACGUCGUGAGACAGAUCGGUCCAUAUCCGAUGUAGGCGUGAGAAUAUUGAGAGGAGCCUUCCUUAGUACGAGAGGACCGGGAAGGACGCACCGCUGGUGUACCUGUUAUGAUGCCAAUCGUAAACGCAGGGUAGCCAAGUGCGGAGAGGAUAACCGCUGAAAGCAUCUAAGUGGGAAGCCCACCUCAAGAUGAGUAUUCUGGUGUAAGGUCACGGGGAGACGACCCGUAGAUAGGCACGAGGUGGAAGUGCAGAGAUGUAUGAAGCCGAAGUGUACUAAUAGACCGUCGGCUUGACC